AGCGAACGCUGGCGGCAGGCCUAACACAUGCAAGUCGAACGGGCACCUUCGGGUGUCAGUGGCAGACGGGUGAGUAACACGUGGGAACGUGCCCAUCGGUUCGGGACAACUCCGGGAAACUGGAGCUAAUACCGGAUACGACCUUACGGUGAAAGAUUUAUCGCCGAUGGAUCGGCCCGCGUCUGAUUAGCUUGUUGGUGAGGUAAUGGCUCACCAAGGCGACGAUCAGUAGCUGGUCUGAGAGGAUGAUCAGCCACACUGGGACUGAGACACGGCCCAGACUCCUACGGGAGGCAGCAGUGGGGAAUAUUGGACAAUGGGCGAAAGCCUGAUCCAGCCAUGCCGCGUGAGUGAUGAAGGCCCUAGGGUUGUAAAGCUCUUUCGGCGGGGACGAUAAUGACGGUACCCGCAGAAGAAGCCCCGGCUAACUUCGUGCCAGCCGCCGCGGUAAAAC
rnacentral:rRNA from 1 species